AACCAGCACCUCGAGUGGUCAGGAGGAUUAUUGGGCCUAAAGCAUCCGUAGCCGGCUCUGUAAGUUUUCGGUUAAAUCCAUAUGCUCAACGUAUGGGCUGCCGAAAAUACUGCAAAGCUAGGGAGUGGGAGAGGUAGACGGUACUCGGUAGGAAGGGGUAAAAUCCUUUGAUCUAUCGAUGACCACCUGUGGCGAAGGCGGUCUACCAGAACACGUUCGACGGUGAGGGAUGAAAGCUGGGGGAGCAAACCGG
rnacentral:rRNA from 1 species